AGCAGCCGCGGUAAUUCCAGCUCCAAUAGCGUAUAUUAAAGUUGUUGCAGUUAAAAAGCCCGUAGUUGAACUUCGGAAUUUGCCCAUUGGUCAGGCUUAACUGUCUGCACUGGUGUGACGAGUUCCUACCUUCUGAGGAAUCUCCAUGUCAUUCAGUUGGUGUGGGGGGAAAUCAGGACUGUUACUUUGAAAAAUUAGAGUGUUUAAAGCAGGCGUCCGUCUGAAUACAUUAGCAUGGAAUAAUAAAAUAGGACGGUUUGGUUCUAUUUUGUUGGUUUCUAGGAUCACCGUAAUGAUUAAUAGGGAUAGUUGGGGGCAUUAGUAUUCAAUUGUCAGAGGUGAAAUUCUUGGAUUUUAUUGAAGACUAACUACUGCGAAAGCAUUUGCCAAGGAUGUCUUCAUUAAUCAAGAACGAAAGUUAGGGGAUCGAAGACGAUCAGAUACCGUCGUAGUCUUAACCAUAAACUAUGCCGACUAG
rnacentral:rRNA from 1 species